UACAGAGGGUGCGAGCGUUAAUCGGAAUUACUGGGCGUAAAGCGCGCGUAGGCGGCUUUGCAAGUCGGGUGUGAAAUCCCCAGGCUUAACCUGGGAACUGCAUUCGAGACUGCAUUGCUAGAGUAUGGGAGAGGGAAGUGGAAUUUCCGGUGUAGCGGUGAAAUGCGUAGAUAUCGGAAGGAACAUCAGUAGCGAAAGCGACUUCCUGGACCAAUACUGACGCUCAUGUGCGAAAGCGUGGGGAGCAAACAGG
rnacentral:rRNA from 1 species